GACGAACGCUGGCGGCGUGCUUAACACAUGCAAGUCGAACGGAAAGGCCCUGCUUUUGUGGGGUGCUCGAGUGGCGAACGGGUGAGUAACACGUGAGUAACCUGCCCUUGACUUUGGGAUAACUUCAGGAAACUGGGGCUAAUACCGGAUAGGAGCUCCUGCUGCACGGUGGGGGUUGGAAAGUUUCGGCGGUUGGGGAUGGACUCGAGGCAUAACAGCUUGUUUGGGGGGUAGUGGCGUACCAAGGCUGUGACGGGUAGCCGGCCUGAGAGGGUGACCGGCCACAAUGGGACUAAGGUACGCCCCAGACUGGAACGGGAGGCAGCGGGCGAGAAAAUUACACAAUAGCCGGAAGCCUGAUACAACGGCGCCGCGUGCGGGAUGACGGCCUACGAGUAAUAAACCGAUUUCGACUGAGACAAAGCGUGCGUGACGGUAAUUGAUAAAAAAGCACCGGCUAACUACGUG
rnacentral:rRNA from 1 species